CGCCCGGCCCAGGCUGCGGGCGGAGCGGGCCCAGGCCCGGCCCGGCCCCGGCGCGUCCCGCGGGCCCGGCGCACCCCGGGCCUGCACAGUUGUUUGUGAAUGAAUUUGGCUGAAUAUGGAUCCAGGUGGUGGAAGUCUUGGAUUGCAAACACAGGAAUCCAAAAUGCCUCACACUAUGAUCAUGCAAGAUUUUGUGGCUGGGAUGGCUGGCACUGCUCACAUCGAUGGAGACCACAUAGUUGUGUCAGUCCCCGAAGCUGUCCUGGUUUCUGACGUGGUCACGGAUGAUGGGAUAACCCUUGACCAUGGCCUGGCAGCUGAGGUGGUCCAGGGGCCCGACAUCAUCACAGAGACAGACGUUGUCACCGAGGGCGUCAUCGUCCCCGACUCCGUGCUGGAGGCUGACGUGGCCAUCGAGGAGGCUUUGGACACCAGCGACCACGUUCUGGCUUCUGACCUGAUCACAGAAACCGUGCGCGUUCCCGACCAGGUGUUUGUGGCAGACCUGGUCACGGGCCCUGAGGGACACCUGGAGCACGUGGUGCAGGACUCGGUGGCCGGGGCCGACUCGCCCACCAUGGUCUCAGAAGAGGUGCUGGUGACCAACUCGGAUUCGGAGGCUGUCAUCCAGGCUGCUGGGACUGUCCCUGGCUCCACCGUCACCAUCAAAACCGAGGACGACGACGACGGCAAGAGCACUUCUGAAGACUACCUGAUGAUAUCUUUGGAUGAUGUUGGAGAGAAAUUGGACCAUAUAGGAAGCACUCCCUUGAAGAUCAGUACCGAGGUGGCAAAUGAUGAUGUUGCUAAAGAUGAUGGCUUUGGUUCAGAAGUUAUCAAAGUCUACAUAUUUAAAGCUGAAGCUGAAGAUGAUGUUGAAAUAGGUGGGACAGAAAUUGUCACUGAGAGUGACUUUCACAAUGGCCAUUCUGUAGCUGGAGUCAUUGAACAAGGAGGUGUUGGGAGAAUGCAGCGAGAAAAAAUGGUUUACAUGGCUGUUAAGGACUCUUCUCAGGAAGAUGAAGAUAUUAGCUGUGCUGAAAUAGCAGAUGAAGUUUAUAUGGAAGUUAUUGUAGGGGAAGAAGAAGCCACAUCCCUUCCAGACACCCAGCUUGAGGACUCUGGCGUGAAUAAAACGUUUGUCCCCGUUGCUUGGGCUGCUGCUUACGGAGAUGAAAGAAGGCUUCCCCGAAGAUACGAAGAUGGUCAAGCCGCAGGAAAUAACUUGGAUACACGAUUAGAAAACAAAAACGGUAAUGCAACACAGUACCUGCAGAUUUGUGAUAGCAUUAGCACUAAUAGAGUGCUCAAACAAAAAACCAAGAAAAGGAGGAGAGGAGAGGCCAGGCAAUGGCAAACAGCUGUUAUAAUAGGUCCUGAUGGACAGCCCUUAACAGUUUACCCUUGUCAUAUUUGUGGGAAAAAAUUUAAAUCCAGAGGAUUCUUGAAAAGGCAUAUGAAGAACCAUCCCGAUCAUAUGAUCAAGAAGAAAUACCAGUGUACAGACUGUGACUUUACAACUAACAAAAAAGUAAGUUUCCACAAUCAUCUGGAAAGCCAUAAACUUAUAAAUAAAGUUGAUAAAACGCACGAGUUUACAGAGUACACGAGAAGAUACAGAGAGGCGAGCCCGUUGAGUUCCAAUAAACUCAUCCUGAGGGACAAGGAGCCCAAGCUCCACAAGUGCAAAUAUUGUGACUAUGAGACUGCAGAGCAGGGGCUGCUCAACAGGCACCUGCUGGCAGUCCAUAGCAAGAACUUCCCUCAUGUGUGCGUGGAAUGUGGGAAGGGCUUCCGCCACCCCUCGGAGCUGAAAAAGCACAUGAGGACCCACACGGGGGAAAAGCCAUACCAGUGUCAGCACUGCGUGUUCAGGUGCGCUGACCAGUCCAACCUGAAAACUCACAUCAAAACCAAACACGGCACCGACCUGCCCUAUAAAUGUGAGCACUGUCCCCAGGCCUUCGCCGACGAGAAGGAGCUGCAGCAGCACACCGAGCUCUUCCAAGGACAUAAGACUCACCAGUGUCCCCACUGUGACCACAAGAGCACCAACUCCAGCGACCUGAAGCGACACAUUAUUUCAGUGCACACCAAGGAUUUUCCCCACAAGUGCGAGGUGUGUGAGAAAGGCUUCCACCGGCCCUCGGAGCUCAAAAAGCAUAGCGAGACCCAUAAAGGGAAAAAGAUCCACCAGUGUAGGCACUGUGACUUCAAAACCUCCGACCCUUUUGUGCUCAGUGGGCACAUCCUCUCCGUUCACACCAAGGACCUGCCUUUUAAGUGCAAAAGGUGUAAAAGGGGCUUCAGGCAGCAGAACGAACUGAAGAAGCACAUGAAGACCCACAGUGGCAGGAAGGUGUACCAGUGCCAGUACUGUGAGUACAGCACCACGGACGCGUCGGGCUUUAAGCGCCACGUCAUCUCCAUCCACACCAAAGACUACCCCCACAGGUGUGAGUUCUGCAAAAAGGGCUUCCGCAGGCCCUCCGAGAAAAAUCAGCACAUAAUGAGGCACCACAAAGAGGCCAUCCUGUGAUAGAGAACAAAACGCUUCUCACAUAUUUUGGGAAAAAACAGGUAAGUUUUUUGUCUUUUUACCUGUGUAAUAACAGCUUGCAGAAUGAAAUGCUAAAAACGCUGCUAUCCUAAAUUCCCUCUCUUUUUAGAAUACUUGAAUUGCACCAUCAGUAACAGAUUAAAAAGCUGAAGAAGAAGAUGUGCUAUUAAAUGAACCCUUCAUCGAGGAUUUCCAACGGGCUUUGAGCCACUGCACUCGUAGAUUUUGCACAAAGAGCAGAAAUUAAGCAGACAGGAAUUAAUUCAUCUGGGUUUUGUUGCUGCUUUUCCUUGCAUGCCCAGCAGUCAGAAGGGAAAAAAUCUUAGUGAUUUAAGGCUGUGGACUUCUGACAAUGUCAAUGCUUUGUUCCUGAAUGUUAUGCUGAAUACAUGGACUGAAGGAGUUUCUUCACCUGAAGAUGAUCCCUGACUCUGCCCAUGGCUGUGCUGGCUCAUUUUUCCACCCUACAGAUGGACCAAAUAAUCAGGCUUCAGCUGCCCACAAUUAAAGGCAAUAAAGAGAAAAGGAGGAAGAGCUGCAGCAGAACUCUGGAAGUAAAGGUGAGGUACUGGGUGUGGACUGGUGGCUGCUGGACUUGUCAGGGCCUUCCCAGACAGGGCUCUCUGGCUUUUAAUUUACAGCUGAGGCCGAGAAACUUCAAUACUGCAGAAAGGUCAGUCAAAACAAAGAAGACAGUUUUCUCCUUUUCAGUGCAAAACAAGACUGCAUUCUGGCAGAUAAAGACAGGACAGAAUGUAUAUUGUUGUAAUUAGAUAAAGUAAAUAGUGUCUGACUUCUUUCUAAUUUGUUCCUAGAAAAAAAUGUAGAAGUCUUGGUGAAGCUACUUGAAAUUGAGGUGGGAAAUGAGCUAAAGUAAAAUGUUUCUAAGCAGGAUUUACACAGCUGAGUAAAUGAGAAAAUGUUUUUCUGUAAACUUCAGCAGAAAGCACAUAUUAGGUAAAUCAGUUCCAGUUCCACAGCAAAGAGGGGACAGCUGAGCCCACAGUAACAGGAACUUCAUAGUGAAAAAACUAAAUUUGCUUUUUAAAAACAUAGGGUUUUGAAAACAAAACCAGCCUAUAAAUAAAUGGCCAUAUGCUUUAUCUAUUACUCUAACUCAGCUUUUUAACAAUUGCUUUGUGUUUUCUGAGUACAAAGUGCAGUUACAGCCUCUUCUCUGUAGCAUUUACAGGGUCUGGUGACCUGCAGAUUCUUUGAGGAGUUGUCCUUGUCCCCAGGACAGGGAGCUGGCUGGCCUGAGCAGCAACCUGGGCUUCUUGUAAGCAGGCUGCAGCUUUCCUGGCUGCCCCAGGAUGGUGUUUGCACUGGGAUGGAUCAGCUGGAUUUGAAAAGAGCAUUUGCCUGAUGGUGGCCUUUGCCAUGGAGUUGUCUCAGCACACCCAGCAGCUCCUGGUCUGAGCCCUGUCCCUCCUUAGGGAGUCCCCUGUGCUGUGCCAUGGAGUGGAGGAAACCCAGCUUGGUCUGAGCUGUGAGGAACCCCCAGGCCUGGUGGGAGCACAAGGAGCAGCUGCACCCAGACCCCUGCACAGAUUGCCUGAGGACUGGCUGAAGAACAGGAGCUAGUUAAGACCAGCUGAAGUCCACAGAGGGAUAGCAUCCCACUCCUCAGAGGGAAAAGUGAGUCCUUAAUGUUUUCCCAGUCUUCCUCACUAUCAGACUGAACCUUUUCUUGGAUGCAGAAGAGCAGAAAGUAAAGCAGUUUUAGUGGUUUGUGAACUCCUUGGAGCAGCUGUGAGGGCUCAGAGGAUUCUCUCAUUCCUAAAAGAAACAAGCAGCUUGUUAGAAGAAAUACACAAACUUGUUUCUGUUAUGAAACAGAACUAUCUCCCAUAAAGCAUCUCAUUUAAUUAUCUGUUUUCUCUUGUACAGUGUCCAAGGGCACCCAUAAGCCUUUCCUCUGUACCAAACACUUUACUUUUUCAUUUCCCUAUUGCUGUUUCAUUGCUUGACAUUUCACUAGGUUGCAAUGCACCUGGGUAAGGUUUAGGGAUCAGUAAUAGAACUCUGCUUUUUGCCAGUGCCCUGAGCCUUUUGCUUUUUUAAUCCUGCUGCAGGCAAGGUCCCUGUGAGGGACAUGCCAGGUGUGUUAACUGCAUCUGCUCAGGCUGUCACAGAACUGUCCCCUGGCUGUGUCCCUCCGUGGUUGUGUCCAGGUGCUGCUGUGACCUUGUGCCUGCAGCCACCACCACCCCUGCCUGGCCACCCUGCCAUUUCUCCAGCGUUUACCUUGUAGCCAGACUUGGCACCACGAGCCCUGCCUGUAACAGAAAUAGCUUCUGCAGCCCUGUUUUCUAUUUUUACUCUGAAUCACUCCUUAAAAUGUCACCACUCUUCUGCAUUCCUGGGUUGGCACUGCCCUGGCUCAGGGUGAGUUUCAGGGAUGUGGUGCUUUGUGUGUUUUACUAAUGGCUUGGAGUCACUGACACUCCUAAUGCAGAGGAGCACGGCCCUCCCAAAUCCCUGCUCACCCCAGAGCACAGCAGGACACAGUCCCUGCCUACCUGCCCAGUACAGCAACACCCCGGGGCCGGUGUUAGAGGAAGCUGAUGCUUUUGUUCAGGGUAAUUACGUGCCAGAGAAAACAACAAAAGGUUUUAUAUUUGUACCACACUCACCAAUUACUGCCUGCUCCAAGAGCCAGGACAGUUCCCUGGCUACAGUCAGUCACUUUGCUUUUUGCACUUAAAUUACCACAAGGGCAUCUCUGAGCUCUCAGUUUGGGUAAUACUUGCUUUGAGUUAAAUUAAACACUUAAGGGUUGUAGAGGGAUCAGUCCAUCUCCAGGUAAACUUACAUGUUUCCAGAUCUCUCCAGUCCUCUCAAUUACAAUCGUUUGUGAUUUAUUGACAGGUGAUGUGACCUUGUAGUCAUCAGACAGGAGACCCAGAAUAGGAUACUGAUUCCUGUACCUGUAGAGAGUUGAACGGGUUGCUUAACAGAGCCUAAACAAAGGAAAGCCCAAAGGAUGUGUUUUUAAAAGAGGUGAAUAACACAUUACUUUUUAGUGAUGAUGGCUGUCACCCCAGGGGACUGACUGCCCGAAAACUUGUCAUGCUUCAGUCUGAAGAGCUCCUGACAAAACCAAAAGCAAACACUGAUGUGAAGUCAUGUUUUCUGAAGUAUCAGUUCACUAAAGCCACAACAAAAUAUUUGCAGAAAUUUGUCUCAACAGUCUGAAAGUCUGCCCUUCCUGAAGGCUGGCAGAGAAACAGCAUUCAGGUAGAACAAAUCCUCACCCCCUUUCCUAAGCCAGGAGAGGACAAGGGCCUUCCUGGUAAGGUUCCACCUACACAGUACCACGGAGGCUUAAACACAAAAACCCUUAGAGGAAUAACUUGUCUUAUUUUACCUCUUGCUGUUGUUUAAUAAAAGCCUCUUUGUCCUCCAGCAGCGAUGUCAGUUCGUGCAGCCUCAUUUGCAAGUCGCUGUUGCUCCCCUCUCUCCUGGUUAUGUCCUGCUGGAACUGGCACAGCUGGGACUGUAGAACAAGGCAGGAGCUCUCAGGUGUGGAGGGCUCUGGGCAGGGCCUCUCAGCACCCACCCAGGGCUCUGGGGGUGGCAUUUCAUUAACAUCAUCAACAGCGAGACCCAGGGAUUUUCAGGUCAGAAGUUGAGCCACACAGUAAAUUCAGAAAGUGCUAAUUGGACUGAAUUCUACCUAUAUUAAUUUAAUCAUUUUACAAUUCUCAAGCUAAACCAACACUGAACCAGUUGAAUUGGCUUCCAGAGUUGGAGACUUUUACCACUGAUUUCCAUGGGAGACAUUUCCUAUAUACAGCUGUGACUGGCAGAUAUUUUUGUUUCCUGUUAAGCACAUUUUGACUAAUUUCUUCUGUUAUCAGGACACACAAAAUAUCCCUUUAGGACAGCCCACUAAUCAAGUUGAUCCCUAAUUUUUUCCUGUAAAGAACAGUUGGGUUUUUUUUUUUUAAAUCACCAUUUUAUGUUCUACUAGAAAGGUUUUAAGCCAUCAGCAGUGUCUAUGAGUAAAGUAACUGCACAGCCAGAAGACACCCAAAAAGUGCCUGUGGAAGAUCUCUGCUGCUCCAAGUGCAGGAGCAGCUGUCCCUGCACACAGCCAGCAGAGCCCCUUACCCUGAGGCUGCGGAUCUCCCUGUCCUUGUCCUCCCUCAGGUUGUUGAUCAUCUCCACGUAGCGGCUGGAGAGCUCGUCCGUCGUGGUCUGCAGCGUCGGGCUGGAGCAGCUCUGCACAAAGAACCCAAUUUUAUUUCACAAAGAGUUUUCAUCGUUAGUUUUCCUACACUGAUCCCUCUGAGUCUGGGACUCAGCUACUGCACCCAGCCAGGACAAUGCUGUGACAUUCCCAGCGGUGCCGAGCACUUGGGCUAGUGUGGGAAGCGUUGCUGCUUCCCCAACAGGAAUUCUCUGCUGCCUGCAUCCACAGCCACAAGGCUGGGAUGGCUGAAGGCCAGAGAACCUGCGGAGCUGCCAAAGCCACCCCUGUCCAUCCAGCCCAGAGAACCUGCAGAGCUGCCAAAGCCACCCCUGUCCAUGCAGCCCCGAGGCAGUGACAGAGCAGCCACUGCCACCAGCACAGCCACAGCCUGGAAUGCCAGCCCUGGGCUCCUGCUGCCAGCUGGGAGCAGCUGGAUGAGCUGGAUAAGGAGCUGGACUCACCCCCAGGUCAUCCUGCAGAUGGCAGAGCUCCUCCCGCAGGUUCUUGAAGGUGGAAAGCACAAGUCUCAGGGAUUUGUCCGAUGUCGCUCUCAUCUGGGAGGGGAGAAAUGAAAAGGAUAAUUGGGAUUAAUUAGGCAGCUUUGUUUACAAUAUGCCUAACAAGAGGUAGAACAGAAACUGCUUUAAGCUGACAGUAACUUCUAAAACCAUUGCACAUCCUUUGAAGUGCCCACAGUUUCUACAGGAAACAUUUUCCUUGCACUUUUUUCUGCAAAUGCCAGUGUUCAAUUUCUGCCUCGUAACACAGGACAACGUUGUUAAAAUGGAAGGAACAACAGGGCAAGGAACUGCCUUUGCACACCAAUAAAGGGAAAAAUAAAUGUGUUCAUAUUAUACAAUUAUUAUUUGAGCUUUAAAAGCUUUGUGCUUGCACUGAUUUUUAAAAUUACUGCCCUGCCUGAAAAGGCACAGAGGAAUGAGUCAUGUUUGAGAUCUGGCAAAGCUUUGGGCUCAAGGAUGAGGGAAUUUAAUUAACAUUUUUAAAAAUUUAAAUUAAAAAAGCUCACGCAGCCAACUCCUCCCUUUAAAAGGAAAAAGAUUCCUAAGAUGAAAGGAUUCACCUGGAUGAAAGAGAAAACCAUAAGUGACCACAGCCCAACACUGUUCCCCUUUGGAAUGUUAAUUUUAAUGCCUUUAAUAGCUGUGUAUUGAUUCAGGUGAAAAUAUAAAUUGUUGCAUUUCAUGAUACAUUUAUAAUAUUUAAAAGAAGAAAAACAGACUUUGAAAGGACACACAAAAUAACUCCUCAAGCUGUAAUGCUCCUGGAAGGGCUGAAUAUUCUGUGCAAAAGCUGUGGUUUUUUCCUGUCCAGACAAAAGUGAAACCCUCCUGUGUGUUCCCUUAACUUGGAGCUCUCCUGCUCUCUCUAUCCAUAUGGGGAUGGGCCCUUGCCCAGUUUUUUUUCUAUCCCCACUGGUGCCAUGGUGUGACUGAGACUUCAUUCCUAGUGCAACUCACGUUUCUGUUUGUUUUGUGAUUAAAGUGGAAUUUCACUUUU